rnacentral:rRNA from 1 species
GAUGAACGCUAGCUACAGGCUUAACACAUGCAAGUCGAGGGGAAACGACAUCGAAAGCUUGCUUUUGAUGGGCGUCGACCGGCGCACGGGUGAGUAACGCGUAUCCAACCUGCCCACCACUUGGGGAUAACCUUGCGAAAGUAAGACUAAUACCCAAUGAUAUCCCACGAAGGCAUCCGAAUGGGAUUAAAGAUUUAUCGGUGAUGGAUGGGGAUGCGUCUGAUUAGCUUGUUGGCGGGGUAACGGCCCACCAAGGCUACGAUCAGUAGGGGUUCUGAGAGGAAGGUCCCCCACCAUUGGAACUGAGACACGGUCCAAACUCCUACGGGAGGCAGCAGUGAGGAAUAUUGGUCAAUGGGCGAGAGCCUGAACCAGCCAAGUAGCGUGCAGGAAGACGGCCCUAUGGGUUGUAAACUGCUUUUAUAGGGGAAUAAAGUGAGCCACGUGUGGUUUUUUGCAUGUACCCUAUGAAUAAGGACCGGCUAAUUCCGUG